GGUCAAUGAUGAACAGUAAAAGGUCUGAUUGCCCAGGUGCCCCUGCUUCCCAGCAGUCCCCAGCCGCCUCUCUCCCACAGGCUCCAGGUGUGCUGUUGUGGGCCAGAGGGCUGCUGACACUGUGUGAUGUCCCCAUCCCGCCUUCCCUGAUGAGCCUGGGUGAGGCACGUGGUCGGCAUCCAACAGCAUAGUCACUGAGGGGUCUGGUGUUGGGUGCAGGCGUCUGCGGUGUGAUCUGCCCUUUGCAGCUGAGACC
rnacentral:snoRNA from 14 species